rnacentral:rRNA from 1 species
AUACGAUGAAGAGUUUGAUCCUGGCUCAGGAUGAACGCUAGCGGCAGGCUUAACACAUGCAAGUCGAGGGGUAUGCUUCUUCGGGAGCAGAGACCGGCGCACGGGUGCGUAACGCGUAUGCAAUCUACCUUUCACAGAGGGAUAGCCCAGAGAAAUUUGGAUUAAUACCUCAUAGUAUAGCAGUUUCGCAUGAAACCACUA